AGGGUUUAUUCAGCUUACACUUCCACACUGCUGUUAUCACCAAGGAAGUCAGGACUGGAACUCAGGCAGGUCAGGAAGCAGGAGCUGAUGCAGAAGCCAGGGAGGGAUGUUCUUUACUGGCUUGCUUCCCCUGGCUUGCUCAGCCUGUUCUCUUAUAGAACCAAGACUACCAGCCCAGAGAUGGUCCCACCCACAAGGGGCCUUUCCCCUUUGAUCACUCAUUGAGAAAAUGCCUUACAGUUGGAUCUCAUAGAGGCAUUUCCUCAACUGAAGCUCCUUUCUCUGUGAUAACUCCAACUGUGUCAAGUUGACACAAAACUAGCCAGUACGGGCCUAGACAGGUGGCUUAGUCCUGUGCUGUCCUAAGCAGGGGAGAUGACAACUGCAGAGUGUCAGCAGGGUCAAAAGAAGAGAAUGACUGCAGAGGAGUCACUGCCACUGGUCAAUGUGACCAGCAUCUAACAGGUCACAUCCACUCCGAUGAGGGUAAAAUAGGGCUAAACAAAAGGGCUGGUAGGAGCUGGGGAAACUGACUCAAUGUGGGCAGCCGUGCAAGGCAGGCGCUGGUCCUCGCUUUGGACCCAUGUGCUCUACCAGAGUCAGGGUCUACAGCCAGCUGAGGGAACGCCACCACAGUACCUAUCUCUCUCCGUUCUCAAUUUACCUUGGAAGGAGAAACUGUGGGAGAAGAAAAUGUCUACUGUCGAUUAAGCGUGAUUUCCCUGUAGGGACAGCACAGCGCUUAAGUGCCGGGGCCGGUUGGCCUGAGUGGCAAGCUAGUUUCAUUGUUCCUACUGAAUGAAAACAGAAACGAGCUGGGAAAGGACGCAGCCAUUUUCAGAGCGGUCAAAGACGUUUAUACAUUAGAAGAGGUUUUAAAUGUUGGAGAAGGGGGACAGGGGUCUCAAAUUUUGCCUCUGAGUUCCUGAAAAUGAUCUUAUAAAAUGCAGCAGCAUCUUGCUGCAGCCAAAAUCUGCCUGGGAGCAUAACUAACAGACCUUUAGCAGUAGAGCCCCCUUUCUCUAGGGCUCCCUCUACUGGUCACCCUGGGAACUCUAGGCCCCUUUAAAUUAGCUUAGAAAGCCCCAGGCAGAGAGGGUCCGCCCUCUUCUCCAGGCAGGCUGGGCAGAUCCCCUGAUAGGCUAAGGUCCACUUGGCUCCCAACCAUUCAUAGUAGAACAUAGUUUUGGAGUUUACAGUCCCAAAGAUCCCGUUAUUCACACAGAGAAAGGCAUGAGGCAGCCCCACCUAUUUCUGAUUGCUCUUCCUUCCAGGGUGGCUACCUAAGAACCCUCAUCAAGGCUUCUUCUCUUCAUUUGCUAACAAAGUGAUGGGGCUUUUUGUCUCUUUUUGUGUGCCUUUGUUCUCCAUAGGUUGGGGGGAAAUCCCUCCAGCUAGUUAGGCCACUGACCAAUACACCCAGGAAACAAAGAUAGGAGCUAAUUCUGCCAUGGUUGUAAACUAGUCAUGAACCUUUUGAACAAUCUUAAUGGAGUGGGAUCAAAGGCAAAGUGGCUUUGUCUCCCAGCCUCUGGAAUUACUGCGUCCUUCUCUAGUAAGCAGGCCCUCUGGUGAUGACUUAGACUCACAAGGCCUGCCCACGCUCUACUAGUACAGACUUUCCAGUGUAUUAAAGCUGUCUACUUCUCUGUCCUGCCAGGCUCAGGACUCAAGGGACAGGAAGUAAGAGAAGCAAAGGCAUGGGCCAUCUGUCCCCCUUGCUCCUCACCUCAGAGUGAAGGCACAUGUCUCUCCUGGGGUCUCCUCCCUCAGGCUCCAGACUCUAGCCCAAAAGAAAGGCU
ensembl:lncRNA